UACAGAGGUCUCAAGCGUUGUUCGGAUUCAUUGGGCGUAAAGGGUGCGUAGGUGGCUUGUUAAGUUGAUGGUGAAAUCUCGGGGCUCAACUCCGAAACUGCCUUCAAUACUGGCGAGCUCGAGGACUGUAGAGGAGAAUGGAAUUCACGGUGUAGCGGUGAAAUGCGUAGAUAUCGUAAGGAAGACCAGUGGCGAAAGCGAUUCUCUGGGCAAUUCCUGACACUGAGGCACGAAAGCGAGGGGAGCAAACAGG
rnacentral:rRNA from 1 species